GACGAACGCUGGCGGCGUGCUUAACACAUGCAAGUCGAGCGGAAAGGCCCUGCUUUUGUGGGGUGCUCGAGUGGCGAACGGGUGAGUAACACGUGAGUAACCUGCCCUUGACUUUGGGAUAACUUCAGGAAACUGGGGCUAAUACCGGAUAGGAGCUCCUGCUGCAUGGUGGGGGUUGGAAAGUUUCGGCGGUUGGGGAUGGACUCGCGGCUUAUCAGCUUGUUGGUGGGGUAGUGGCUUACCAAGGCUUUGACGGGUAGCCGGCCUGAGAGGGUGACCGGCCACAUUGGGACUGAGAUACGGCCCAGACUCCUACGGGAGGCAGCAGUGGGGAAUAUUGCACAAUGGGCGGAAGCCUGAUGCAGCAACGCCGCGUGCGUGAUGACGGCCUUCGGGUUGUAAACCGCUUUCGCCUGUGACGAAGCGUGAGUGACGGUAAUGGGUAAAGAAGCACCGGCUAACUACGUG
rnacentral:rRNA from 1 species